rnacentral:rRNA from 1 species
GACAGAGGGUGCAAACGUUGUUCGGAAUUACUGGGCGUAAAGCGUGCGUAGUCGGUUAUCUAAGUCGGAUGUGAAAUCCCCGGGCUCAACCUGGGAAUUGCAUUCGAUACUGGAUAGCUAGAGUUCGGCAGAGGGAAGUGGAAUUUCGGGUGUAGCGGUGAAAUGCGUAGAUAUCCGAAGGAACAUCAGUGGCGAAAGCGACUUCCUGGACCAGAACUGACGAUCAGGCACGAAAGCGUGGGGAGCAAACAGG